CGUACAGAACCUUCCUUUAAGCGGGGGAUAGCCCAUAGAAAUGUGGAUUAAUACCCCAUAGUAAUAUUAGAUGGCAUCAUUUGGUAUUUAAAGAUUUAUCACUUAGAGAUGGCUGUGCGUAUGAUUAGGUAGUUGGUGUAGGUAACGGCUCACCAAGCCUUCGAUCAUUAACUGGUGUGAGAGCACGACCAGUCACACGGGCACUGAGACACGGGCCCG
rnacentral:rRNA from 1 species